rnacentral:rRNA from 3 species
UGGUGAACCAGCGGAGGGAUCAUUAC